GGUAGUCCACGCCGUAAACGAUGAGUGCUAGGUGUUAGGCCCUUUCCGGGGCUUAGUGCCGCAGCUAACGCAUUAAGCACUCCGCCUGGGGAGUACGACCGCAAGGUUGAAACUCAAAGGAAUUGACGGGGGCCCGCACAAGCGGUGGAGCAUGUGGUUUAAUUCGAAGCAACGCGAAGAACCUUACCAGGUCUUGACAUCCUUCUGACCGGCCUAGAGAUAGGCUUUCUCUUCGGAGCAGAAGUGACAGGUGGUGCAUGGUUGUCGUCAGCUCGUGUCGUGAGAUGUUGGGUUAAGUCCCGCAACGAGCGCAAC
rnacentral:rRNA from 1 species